AUAGUGUAGUGGCGCACACCUGCAGUCCCAGCUACUUGGGAGGUUGAGGCAGGAGGGUUGCUUGAGCCUGUGCUUUGCUGAUUGGGUGUCCACACUAAGUUCUGCAUCAAUAUGCUGACCUCCUACGAGCAGGGGACCAUAAGGUUGCCUGUGAGGGGUGAACUGACCCAGGUCAGAAACAGAGCAGGUCAAAACUCCCGUGCUGAUCCAUAGUGAGAUCCUGCCUGUGAAUAGCCACUGCACUCCAGCCUGGGCAACACAGUGAAACCCUGUCUCU
rnacentral:SRP_RNA from 1 species